ensembl:lncRNA
CAACUGAGCAACUAACCCCUCUGUUCCCACCACCUCAUUUGCUUCCUCUGGGUCUGAAGCAGGUGUGCUCUCUGGUCGGGGCUGGGUUCUCCAGGUACUACCAGGCUCAAGGCCUGAGAGGUCCCUGCCCUGGGCUUCCUGCCGCCUCUCUCCUCCCACCUGGCAGCGAAGCAACUCCCCUGGGCCAGGCGCUGGGGGAAGGGCUCACAGAGGGAGAGCGAUAGAAACCCUCCGUGAUGGAUUGAAGGAGACGAGACCAUUCCCGGCUGGCGGAGGAGUUGCGGCUGCAGUGACAGGUGGCGAUGUUUGUGCUCUGAACCUGCAAUCUCAGCUAAUGGGAGAGAUUGAGGAGUUUGGAAUGAGACACGGCGUGGGCCACAGCCCCACGGGCCAAGAUGCUGCUGGCAUAGGCCGCGUGGCUUCGUGGGGUUCCUGAAGGAGGGAGUGGGUGCCACAUUCCUGGGCAGGGGAGAGAAUGUCUUUGGCUGCCUAUGAGUGUCAGGAGGACCAAGCUGGAGCAGCAGGUGGAUUUUUUAUCAUUGAGUCACCUGGGAAGCCUAUUCCUCAAGGAUGUUGGCCUGUGACUUUCUUUUCUUGAGGUAUCCUUUUUCUGGUUUCUGCGUCUGGAUAAUGCUGGCCUCAUAAAAUGAUUGUUUCCCCACGGCCUCCUCCAGUGGAACCCCUGCAAAGGCCGGGGAGGAAUGGAGUUGGAA